rnacentral:lncRNA from 1 species
GCAAAAGCCCAGGGGUGGAGGGUUGAAGGGAUCAUGGGGGCCUAAGGAGGAAGGUUGAACCUCAAGAAAGGCCAUUCGGAUUGGAACACAUAGCUCAGGUUAGGAGCUCUGCGGAAAGGGGACUUCAGACUACAGAGAGCAUGAAUUCCAGAAUGAGGAAUGUGGUUGUUACUGAGGUGUGUUUGGCCUCAGCUCUGCCUGUUUGGAAGAGCACCUCAUCCCCCAGCCCGGGAUCCAACUGAAGGAUAAUUUGUCCUGCUCUGAUGCUGGGGCUGCAGGGAGGCCCAGGACCCAGGAUCUCGUCUUUUCAAUCCAUUACCUUGGCAAGGUUUAGCCUGAGUGUGAAGGCUCAGGAGAGGUUUGCCUCAGUGGAGGGCAAUCACGCUGAGGCCUCUAAAGUCCAUGGCAACAGGAAUUCUGCCACUCCGGCUCCUGGUUUCUCAGGCCUGUCCCUGCUGGGAGAGGCCUCCUCGGUCUUCCACCUGCGUGGGCCUAUCUGGUUAACCACCCAAGGCACAGCCCGUCUUCUGAAACAAAGAGCCCCAGCCAGCUGCCUCUGCUCUCCCUCAGCCUUGGAGGAAGCUCUGUGAUAAAGCCCGCAGGACGCCAAGCAGGCUAACUUUGAAGAUGAGCCUCCACUGGCUGCAUUAUGAGGCCAGCGACACUUAUCAGACUGAUAAUCUAAAGAUGCUUUUGCCCCUGGAGCAGUAUCUCAUUCCAGGGCAGCCGCACAGAGACCCCGGCACAGGUGUUUGGAGCCCUGCAGCCCAGCUAAGAUGAAGACCAGCUAAGAGACACACCCCGGGCUGUGGCUUCUCCUGCAGACUGGAAGCGAAUGGCCUCCAACAGGGAACAGACGCCUUGUGUUUCUCCCACUAGAGAAGAAGCAAUACUGAGCCUGCAUACUGGCCUUGGAGGGGACACAAUUAAACAUCAGCAGAUCUCAGAUUCGAACUAAAACACAAAACUUUCAGAAGUCUGGAAAAUCUUUUCUAUGCCAAAAUAACCAAUACUUCUGUCUCGAAGGACUUAGAAUCACAACUGGGGGCUGUUGAAAAAAGAAUAAAGAAAGCAGUUAUGGCA